rnacentral:lncRNA from 7 species
GAGGCUCCACUGUUCACCACAGGGAUGGAAAUGCAUUCUGCUUUUUACCAGAAGCUGUUGUUGAACGUAUCUGUGAGACGUUUGCUAUUUGAACUGCGCUACUUUUUUCCACACAUUACAUAUGGGUGAAGCAUGUCAACUUGGAUUGGAAGGGCAUAUCCUGAAGACUCACACAAUUAGUUAGUACUACCUCUGCAUUUUGUAAAGUUGCAUGCCCAUGGAACCAAGGGUGACUUGGUGUAUGCAGCAUGAGGCACAUCAGCACUUUUCAUUGGACGUUGGAAGUGACUAAGAAUCAUUAGUCUGCCUUUCUCUUUGAAUGCAAGCUUGCCCUCCUUCACUCCGUCCAUCUGUAACUCUGGAGAUGGCACUCAUUCAGCGACAGAGUUGGCUCAGGUCCUUACACUGAAGCUUUGGCACAGAGACACGGGUCCCCCCGAAAUGUACCAUGCACGUGUGAUAUGAGAAGAGUUUUGUCUCCCUGGCUGAAAAAUGACUGCUUUCCACUACUUAAAGGUCACAGCAGUUUCUGACCCCACAUGUUUUAAAGGGGUCUCGGACUGUAUCACAGCACUCAACAAAACAGCCAUCAUUACUUACGGUGGAGUUUGCACUGCUGGAGACUGAGCAGCACUAUUGGCCACCCGUCAGAGCAUCUCUGUUCUGCUCCAGGCAGCCACCUGCUCUGCUACCAACUGUUAGACCAAUGUGGAGAAUUGAGCAAAAUCUGCCAAUCAGGGCCAAUCACAUGAGUGAUUCUGCGGAGGCUGAAGCAGGAUUGCCGAACUCAUUGUCAUGCGUGGCUAAACAGAGAAUUGAACCUUGUGAAAGACUGUGAAAACCUGUGUGUUUCAACGUGGUACUUGGUUGGUUAUGCCAAGGAUUGGAGAACCAUCAUCAGUCUCCCGCAUGGAAAAGGAUGAACAGUAGUGCUCCUUAGGGUCAGUCUCUCUUUCUGCCUCGGAAGAUUCCAGGUGAUGGCGUUCACUCUGAAAUUCUUAUAAAUGGCUCACAGUUAACAGCAAAUGCCCGGGAGAAAAAAGAUAAAUAAAUAAAUUCCCCCAGCUGCUUCCUC